rnacentral:sRNA from 12 species
CGCGCAUUGGAAUCAUGAUGACAGUGGUGCGACGGUGAGCUGAUAGGAGCGGAUCACGGGGAUCUAGUUACCGCUCCCGGUACAGCCCUCAGAUGUGAAAGUAGGCGCUUGAAGAUACGGGUCAAUGCUUCAAGAAUUCCGAAUUUUAUACACUGAUGAGGCCAAGCGCCGACUAGGGUGCGUCAGUCGUGGUAACUGGCGGAAAGCUUGGGCGCAGAG